UCCCUGCAAUGUUAACAGCUGUUUCC
rnacentral:piRNA from 1 species